rnacentral:rRNA from 1 species
AGUGAACGCUGGCGGUAGGCCUAACACAUGCAAGUCGAACGGCAGCACAGUAAGAGCUUGCUCUUACGGGUGGCGAGUGGCGGACGGGUGAGGAAUACAUCGGAAUCUACUUUUUCGUGGGGGAUAACGUAGGGAAACUUACGCUAAUACCGCAUACGACCUACGGGUGAAAGCAGGGGAUCUUCGGACCUUGCGCGAUUGAAUGAGCCGAUGUCGGAUUAGCUAGUUGGCGGGGUAAAGGCCCACCAAGGCGACGAUCCGCAGCUGGUCUGAGAGGAUGAUCAGCCACACUGGAACUGAGACACGGUCCAGACUCCUACGGGAGGCAGCAGUGGGGAAUAUUGGACAAUGGGCGCAAGCCUGAUCCAGCCAUACCGCGUGGGUGAAGAAGGCCUUCGGGUUGUAAAGCCCUUUUGUUGGGAAAGAAAAGCAGCAGGUUAAUACCCCGCUGCUCUGACGGUACCCAAAGAAUAAGCACCGGCUAACUUCGUG